rnacentral:rRNA from 1 species
UACGUAGGGUGCAAGCGUUGUCCGGAAUUAUUAGGCGUAAAGAGCUCGUAGGCGGUCUGUCGCGUCGGAUGUGAAAACCCAGGGCUCAACCCUGGGCCUGCAUUCGAUACGGGCAGACUAGAGUUCGGUAGGGGAGACUGGAAUUCCUGGUGUAGCGGUGAAAUGCGCAGAUAUCAGGAGGAACACCGGUGGCGAAGGCGGGUCUCUGGGCCGAAACUGACGCUGAGGAGCGAAAGCGUGGGGAGCAAACAGG